GGUGAUGUAGCUCAGCCGGUUAGAGCGGUUCACUCAUAAUGAACAGGUCGGAGAUUCGAGUUCUCCCAUCACCACCA
rnacentral:tRNA from 1 species